AUUGAACGCUGGCGGCAUGCUUUACACAUGCAAGUCGAACGGUAACAGGCCUUCGGGUGCUGACGAGUGGCGAACGGGUGAGUAAUGCAUCGGAACGUACCCAGAGGUGGGGGAUAACGCAGCGAAAGCUGUGCUAAUACCGCAUGUGAUCUGAGGAUGAAAGCGGGGGACCGAGCAGCAAUGUUUGGCCUCGCGCCUUUGGAGCGGCCGAUGUCGGAUUAGCUAGUUGGUGGGGUAAAGGCCUACCAAGGCGACGAUCCGUAGCUGGUCUGAGAGGACGACCAGCCACACUGGGACUGAGCCACGGCCCAGACUCCUACGGGAGGCAGCAGUGGGGAAUUUUGGACAAUGGGCGCAAGCCUGAUCCAGCAAUGCCGCGUGCGGGAAGAAGGCCUUCGGGUUGUAAACCGCUUUUGGCAGGAACGAAACGGUGUCCGCUAAUACCGGGCGCUAAUGACGGUACCUGCAGAAUAAGCACCGGCUAACUACGUG
rnacentral:rRNA from 1 species